rnacentral:rRNA from 1 species
CACGUAGGCACCAAGCGUUGUCCGGAUUUAUUGGGCGUAAAGAGCUCGUAGGCGGUUGAGUAAGUCGGGCGUGAAAACUCUGGGCUUAACCCAGAGCCGCCACCCGAUACUGCUCUGACUUGAGGUCGGUAGGGGAGCAGGGAAUUCCUAGUGUAGCGGUGAAAUGCGCAGAUAUUAGGAGGAACACCGGUGGCGAAGGCGCUGCUCUGGGCCGAUACUGACGCUGAGGAGCGAAAGCGUGGGUAGCAAACAGG